GCAUAUCAAUAAGCGGAGGAAAAGAAACUAACAAGGAUUCCCCUAGUAACUGCGAGUGAAGCGGGAAAAGCUCAAAUUUAAAAUCUGGCAGUCUUUGGCUGUCCGAGUUGUAAUCUGGAGAAGCGUCUUCCGCGCUGGACCGUGUACAAGUCUCCUGGAACGGAGCGUCAUAGAGGGUGAGAAUCCCGUCUUUGACACGGACUACCAGUGCUUUGUGAUGCGCUCUCAAAGAGUCGAGUUGUUUGGGAAUGCAGCUCAAAAUGGGUGGUAAACUCCAUCUAAAGCUAAAUAUUGGCGAGAGACCGAUAGCGAACAAGUACCGUGAGGGAAAGAUGAAAAGCACUUUGGAAAGAGAGUUAAACAGUACGUGAAAUUGCUGAAAGGGAAACGCUUGAAGUCAGUCGCGUUUGCUAGGACUCAGCCUUGCCUCGGCUUGGUGCACUUCCUAGUAAACGGGCCAGCAUCACUUUUGGCUGCGGGAAAAAGGUCAGAGGAAUGUGGCACCUUCGGGUGUGUUAUAGCCUCUGGCUGCAUACCGUGGCUGGGAGUGAGGAACUCAGCACGCCUUACGGCGGGGCUUCGGCCACCUUCGUGCUUAGGAUGCUGGCGUAAUGGCUUUAAACGACCCGUCUUGAAACACGGACCAAGGAGUCUAACAUGCCUGCGAGUGUUUGGGUGGAAAACCCGAGCGCGUAAUGAAAGUGAAAGUUGGGACCUCUGUCGUGGAGGGCACCGACGCCCGGACCAGACCUUCGGUGACGGAUCUGCGGUAGAGCAUGUAUGUUGGGACCCGAAAGAUGGUGAACUAUCCUGAAUAGGGUGAACCAGAGGAAACUCUGGUGGAAGCUCGUAGCGAUUCUGACCUGCAAAUCGAUCGUCAAAUUUGGGUAUAGGGGCGAAAGACUAAUCGAACCAUCUAGUAGCU
rnacentral:rRNA from 1 species